AGGGGAUUGGUGUAACGGGCAGCACACGAGCCUUUGAAGUUCGUAGUUCUGGUUCGAUCCCAGGAUCCCCUGUCA
rnacentral:tRNA from 1 species